rnacentral:misc_RNA from 1 species
GAAAUGCGAUAAUUAAUGUGAAUUGCAGAAUUCAGUGAAUCAUCGAGUCUUUGAACGCACAUUGCGCCCCCUGGUAUUCCGGGGGGCAUGCCUGUCCGAGCGUCAUUGCUGCCCUCAAGCACGGCUUGUGUGUUGGGCUUCCGUCCCUGGCAACGGGGACGGGCCCAAAAGGCAGUGGCGGCACCAUGUCUGGUCCUCGAGCGUAUGGGGCUUUGUCACCCGCUCCCGUAGGUCCAGCUGGCAGCUAGCCCCGCAACCAAUCUUUUUAACCAGGUUGACCUCGGAUCAGGUAGGGAUACCUGCUGAACUUAAGC